AUUGAACGCUGGCGGCAGGCUUAACACAUGCAAGUCGAGCGGAGAUGAGGUGCUUGCACCUUAUCUUAGCGGCGGACGGGUGAGUAAUGCUUAGGAAUCUGCCUAUUAGUGGGGGACAACAUUCCGAAAGGAAUGCUAAUACCGCAUACGUCCUACGGGAGAAAGCAGGGGAUCUUCGGACCUUGCGCUAAUAGAUGAGCCUAAGUCGGAUUAGCUAGUUGGUGGGGUAAAGGCCUACCAAGGCGACGAUCUGUAGCGGGUCUGAGAGGAUGAUCAGCCACACUGGGACUGGGACACGGCCCAGACUCCUACGGGAGGCAGCAGUGGGGAAUAUUGGACAAUGGGGGGAACCCUGAUCCAGCCAUGCCGCGUGUGUGAAGAAGGCCUUAUGGUUGUAAAGCACUUUACGCGAGGAGGAGGCUACUGAGACUAAUACUCUUGAAUAGUGGACGUUACUCGCAGAAUAAGCACCGGCUAACUCUGUGCCAGCCGCCGCCGUAACAC
rnacentral:rRNA from 1 species